GAUGAACGCUAGCUACAGGCUUAACACAUGCAAGUCGAGGGGAAACGGCAUUAAGUGCUUGCACUUUUUGGACGUCGACCGGCGCACGGGUGAGUAACGCGUAUCCAACCUUCCCAUGACUAAGGGAUAACCUGCCGAAAGGCAGACUAAUACCUUAUGGUCUUCACUGACGGCAUCAGAUGUGAAGUAAAGAUUUAUCGGUUAUGGAUGGGGAUGCGUCUGAUUAGCUUGUUGGCGGGGUAACGGCCCACCAAGGCAACGAUCAGUAGGGGUUCUGAGAGGAAGGUCCCCCACAUUGGAACUGAGACACGGUCCAAACACCUACGGGAGGCAGCAGUGAGGAAUAUUGGUCAAGGGGCGAGAGCCUGAACCAGCCAAGUAGCGUGCAGGAGGACGGCCCUAUGGGUUGUAAACUGCUUUUGUAUGGGGAUAAAGUCAAUCACGUGUGAUUGUUUGCAGGUACCAUACGAAUAAGGACCGGCUAAUUCCGUG
rnacentral:rRNA from 1 species